rnacentral:rRNA from 1 species
UACGUAGGGUGCGAGCGUUGUUCGGAAUCACUGGGCUUAAAGGGCGCGUAGGCGGGUUCUCAAGUCUGGAGUGAAAGCCCGCGGCUCAACCGCGGAAGCGCUUCGGAUACUGGGGGCCUCGAGGGGGGUAGGGGCGUGCGGAACUUCCGGUGGAGCGGUGAAAUGCGUAGAUAUCGGAAGGAACACCGGUGGCGAAAGCGGCGCGCUGGACCGAUACUGACGCUGAGGAGCGAAAGCGUGGGGAGCGAACAGG